rnacentral:rRNA from 1 species
UUACCAAACAUGUCUUAAUGAUUAAAUAUAUUUUUAUUAAGUCUGGCCUGCUCAAUGAUUCAAUUAAAUAGCCGCAGUAUUUUGACUGUGCGAAGGUAGCAUAAUCAUUUGUCUUUUAAUUAAAGGCUUGUAUGAAUGGUUGGAUGAAAGAAUAACUUUCUUUAUAUCAAAUGGAUGAAUUUAAUUUUUGAGUUAAAAAGCUUAAAUUUAUAAAUGGGACGAGAAGACCCUAUAGAAUUUUAUUUUCUAGUUUUUAUAGGAAUUUUUUGGUUAUUAAUUAAUUUAUAUAUUUACAGGAAAUUUUGUUGGGGUGACAGUGAGAUUUUUAUAACUCUCAUAUUUUAUUAUUUUAUUAAUUGAUAUAUUUAAGAUCCUAUAUUAUGGAUAUUUAGAUUAAAUUACCUUAGGGAUAACAGCGUAAUUUUUUUGGAGAGUUCAUAUCAAUAAAAAAGUUUGCGACCUCGAUGUUGGAUUAAAAUUAGAUUUAAGUGCAGAAGCUUAUCUUCUAGGUCUGUUCGACCUUUAAAAUUUUACAUGACAAUUUUUAACCCGGGA